AUUGAACGCUGGCGGCAUGCCUUACACAUGCAAGUCGAACGGUAACGGGCCUUCGGGUGCCGACGAGUGGCGAACGGGUGAGUAAUACGUCGGAACGUGCCCGAUCGUGGGGGAUAACGAGGCGAAAGCUUUGCUAAUACCGCAUACGAUCUACGGAUGAAAGCAGGGGACCGCAAGGCCUUGCGCGGACGGAGCGGCCGACGGCAGAUUAGGUAGUUGGUGGGAUAAAAGCUUACCAAGCCGACGAUCUGUAGCUGGUCUGAGAGGAUGAUCAGCCACACUGGGACUGAGACACGGCCCAGACUCCUACGGGAGGCAGCAGUGGGGAAUUUUGGACAAUGGGCGCAAGCCUGAUCCAGCCAUGCCGCGUGCAGGAUGAAGGCCUUCGGGUUGUAAACUGCUUUUGUACGGAACGAAAAGCCUUCUUUUAAUACAGGAGGGUCAUGACGGUACCGUAAGAAUAAGCACCGGCUAACUACGUG
rnacentral:rRNA from 1 species